AUGCUGUCUUCAGCUGGAAAACGGGGGUCAGGAAGUGGCAGCCAGGACCGCCCAAGUGAGCGUGUGCCCAGGGAGCCCGCCCCCUGCAAGGGCCUUGCAGGUGGGGACUGUGGGGGGCUCAGUCUGGGGCCCCUGACCCAUUCCCUCUGGCCAAGCCAGCUACACUCCACCUCAGCCACUGACCACACGGCUCUCCUACCAGCCCAGCAGCCAGGCACCAGCACACGAGCAGGCGCCCUGUCCCCACACAGACAGCUGCUCACCUCAGAGCAGCGCUUGCAGCAUGACGCUGGCGUUGUAGGUCCGGAGCACCCUGGCCGUCAGGCCAUCCCUUGGGUCCUGCAGGUGCCUGUUCAGGCUGGCAGUCUGAAGGUGGGGGGAGGGUGGGGCUCAGCAUGUCGCUUCCUUGGGGACAAUCUCACAGCGCUCCUCCCGGGCCCUGUGCCGGCUCCCGGGUGGGACAGAGCCGCCAGUCAAACGGAGGGCCCUCGGCCUUUGUGAGCAAGAGAAGGUGCCGGCCAGUGCUCACGCUCGCCCCCUCGUCAGACCAGCCGUUGGGUCACCCCGUCAGCACCGCUUAUGGUCAGCCUGUCAACGAGAGCUCCUCCCAGGGCCUUUGUUGUCCGUGAACAGCUGCAGGUUCCGGUAUACGUGCAGUGGAGGAAAGACGCCGUUACCGAGGCUCCCUCAUCCCCAGGCAGGAGGAGCCUCCUGAGGAUGAGCAGAGUCAAAUGAGGGCCCCAGAUGGACAUCUGUGCGACGGGUCCCAGCUUCUCCCGGAGCAGGCAGAGCCUUGUGGGGUUGCACGCUGCGUGGCAAGGCUGCCCUAGCCAGGCUGGCGCCACCCCUGUCCCCACACGUCCGCAGGUGGCCCCACGUCCACAGUCACACUCGUCUGACGACACAGGGCGCCCAGGGACGUCCGUGGCCACUUGGCCCCAUCCCCUUCACCCUCGCUUCCCUCCCCAUCCUGAGCGAGCAUGAACACCCUCCUCCUGUGUCUCCAGCCAGCCCCGCACUGCGUGUGUCCCACAGGGCUGGACACCUGGCAGCAAGCUCCUGAGUGACCAGGACGGCCCGCGUCCCCUGACCCGGUCAGUGCCUGAGGAGAGGGCCCAGCCCUCGCCCUCUGCCCUUGUGUAUGCACGAAGGCAUGGCUGCCAGGAAGGGCUUCGCCGCUCACAGCCCGAUUCCAGCCUCCAGACCCGUUUACGAGGUCAGGAGAGCCACUGGCCUCUGGGUGCAGCUGGUAAUGCUCCACGUGGAGGGAGCAGCAGCCACCAUGUCCGCCGCCCUCCUCCCCAUAGGGCAUGGCGCACGUGCCCUUGGGGACACACACACAGAUGGGCACACACCCACCCCUCCACCGGCCCAGGGCACUGGCUCAGAACACAGAAGGCCCGCUGUCCACCCCCAUCCAUCUAACCCAGCCUUUGCCACCGACCAGAGCACAAUGAGAAGUCCAGGGGAGGCUCGGGACCACCCGCACCUUGUCGAUGAAGUAAAGGGCCACAGCGUACUGUCUUGCCCUCAUCUCUAGAGACGUCUAGGCGGUCCGGUACUAGGAACGGAUCUCGCCCACAACCCCUUUCAAGUGCUGAGCCACCUCGUACUUCCCCCAGUCUCUCUCCCCCUAAAAAAGGGAGCAAGGAGCCCCCUUCAAACAGGGAACUGCUGACUCUCCUCCUGGGCCCCCUCUUAACCUGCUCCACUCAGGGCAGGCAAGCAGACUCCAAACUCAGUUAAAGAUGGCAUAAACUUAAAUUCCUUAUUUUUUAAGACCAAUGGCCACUGGACACACUGUGAUUCCAAAACUGGCCAGUUAACGCCUACGAUCUCAGGGACUCCCUGCCUAAGUGGCCCAGCUAGGCCAGGGAAAGCAAGGUCACACCCGGCGCACCUUCAGCUUGGAGCCAGGGUUCAGCGUGACGUACUUGAUGAGGUUCUGCACAUUCUCCGUCCAUGCCGCCAGCCUCAUGACUGUGCGGACACACCCGACCUCCUUCCACCGGGGGCCAGCUGGGGGCUCGGGUACUGCAGAGUCCCUGCAGAAGGAGAGCAACCCAAACCCAACGAUCAGGACCCCGACACACCAGCCAGACGCACUCAUCUCCCACGGCCGUGAGCACCGCUAGUGCUAAGUCUGUCUCAGAGCCGUCUCAUCACCCAAGCCGUGCCCUUGUGCCACCACCCCUGGCCCUCAGCUCCUGCCCGUGACAGGUUCCUUCAGAGCUGCCCCAAGGGUGAACCCCUUGUGUUGCGAGCCGUGGCAGCUGCAAGGGUCACAGGCAGCCGUGCACUCCUGACAGGCCUGGGCUCCCAGGGGGCACCUCGGCUGUGACCUCCGCAGCAGCAGGACAGGAGCUCCUGCGCGCCUGUCACCACUUGAACCAUGGAAAACUGUUCAAAGUACACAGAUGUGCACUCCCAGUGGAGUAAAAUCUCAAGUGUGGGGUAGGGUGACAAGGGCUGGAUCAGCAAACAGGACCCGGGCUGCUGUGGACACGUUCCUCUGCAGGGAAGGUGCCCUCCAGUCCACCCCACGGAGCCUGGAGUGAUGGUGGGACACCCUGCGUUGGGCCCCCUCCCAGGUGAGAAAGUGAGAGUUGCUCAGUCCUGUCUGACUCUUUGUGACCACAUGGACUAUUCAGUCCCUGGAGUUCUCCAGGCCAGAAUACUGGAGUGGGUGGCCUUUCCGUUCUCCAGGGGAUCUUCCCAACCCAGGGACUGAACCCAGGUCUCCUGCAUUGCAGGCGGAUUCUUUACUAUCUGGUAUAUAUUAAUUAUUAGUAAUAUCAUAUGUUCUUGCUCUUGUUCAAACUUGUCUGACUCUUGCGACUCCACAGGCUGUAGCCCACUAGGCUCCUCUGUCCGUGGGAUUCUCCAGGCAAGAAUCCUGGUGGGUUGCUAUUCCCUUCUCCAUGGGAUCUUCCCAACCCAGGAAUCAAGCCGGGGUCUCCUGCAUUGCAGGAGGAUUCUUUACCAGCUGAGCCACCGGGGAAGCCCCCUCCCAGGUGAGCGGCGGGGCCACAGGCACCUGCUGCAGUUGACGACCACGUCCUCCGGCAGGACCCUCCUCUUCAGCCUCUCCAUCUUGGGGUGGUCGCCCCAGCCUCAGACUGACCAGGGGCUCAGUCUCGAAACUGCCAAUCUUCUCGCGGUGCCCAUCUAAGAUACAGUAGCCAAACUCUUGCUGAAGUUUUUCCUCCUCUUCUUUGAGCUUCUGCAUUAAUAUAACACCGUGUCAGCUUUAGUGGUGAAGAGACAGGAUGCUUGCCACGUGAGCAGGACUAGUCAGAGCCCCUUCACUGCCGCAGCAGCCUGGGCAGCCUAGCGAGGGAGCAGGCCCUGCACAGGGCCCGGGCCACCGCGAGUGGGAAGCACCGGCCCACUGGUCCUCAUGGCAGGGUCGCUGCUCCACAUGCUCCAGGUAGACACAGCACUUCUUAAAUACGUCCAGGUUAGGGGCACAUAGCUCAAAAUCAGCUGAGAAUAACAGAGCAGAAUCAAAGUCCCCUUCACCACUCUCUCGGGGCUCAUCUAGAAAACUCCCUCAGGAGCAUUUUUGUGAGAGGAGGGGUCGUUUUCUGUACCACCAGCUGCCUCUCACAUGAGACCCCAGAAGCCCAAGCCGGACUGAGCCCCGGGGCAGCCUGACCUGCUCCUGCCCCCGGACAGAGCCUUCUGGGAAGCAGUCCUGUCCGCAGAGUGUCUAUGGGUCUCCGUGAAGUCACACCUGUCCAGGUGCUUGACGACCUUCCUCUCUUCUGCUGUCAUUUCCUAAUGAAACCAUAUACUCCCAUCAUCUAACGCAGGCAAGAGUCACACAGGCAGUGGGGACCCUCCCCCUCUGUGGUGGGGGUCCCACUGCACAGGGAAUUGUGAUGCCCCAGAAGCAGGAAGAACCAAGGCCACCCUGAGCAGCAGCCUCUGCAACUGUCCCUCCCCCAAGAGAGCCCCUUCAGGUAGCUGCCCAGGCGUGUAGGCAGUGAGCUGAGGUGCCAGAGCUUCCCCCCAGUGGCCCUGAGUUGGGCCAUGCGGCUGCAUCUGAAGAACGGUCCCCACCAGCUACCGUGUGGACUGCACAGCACUGAUGGGCCCUUCACGCACUAUGAGUGUAGGCGGCCUGCCACCCCACAAGUGGUGAGAACACGCACGUGCUUGGCAGCCCCUAAUUCAGCCACACACACACACACAGAGCCCGUGGCCCAGCCAUCCCCUAGGUACCUGUGGAGAAGGCGUGCACGGCCCCAGAGCGCCCUGUGAAGCACCCAGGUGCCCAGCAGCCAGAAAAGGCACACAAGUGGCCCCAGGGUCUGGCCUGGAGCAGCCGGAAGGGCCCAGGCGCACAGUCCACAGGCCGAGCCAAGGCGGGUGCAGGUGUUCACAGACCCACCCAGCACCUUAUCUUCAAAGAGCUUCCCAACAAGUAUUUCUGUUUCCUGAGAACAGAAAAUGCCCCUCUGGGCCCCCCACAACCUCCCUUUCCCAAGCCUGGCUCUGCCUGCCCCGGGGCAGCAGAGAGGGGAAGGUGAGCCAGCGUCUGACAGGCCGAGGCCGUGGCUACGUAGAGAGUACCUUCCGCCAGUCACUGAAGGAGUUGUCUGGGAAGACUUCUUUUGUUGUAUAUUCAUGCUGCAACAUUUUCCCAUAAAACGCAGCAGCCUCCUCUUGCAACCUCCUCUGCUGCUAAGCUCAGCAUUAAGGGCUUCCCUGGAGACGUGGGAAGAUAUGCGGAUUUAGGGGGCUGGCCCUCACCCUGCAGCACACAGCAUCCUGCCCUGUAAAUCACUCUUUGUUACACACAUUGUGCUGUAUCACGUUAUAAACUCGCCAAGACCAAGGAGCUUGAUUUUUAAAAUUCCGAAGCACAUGCUCAAUUUAAGAAGACGACCACACCUGAGCAUCCUGGGGCACGUGCCAGGCCCCUGCAGAAGGCAGCCACAGGUACUACAUUUGUCCUGCUUUAAUAAUUUACUGAGAAGCGAAAAGCAGAGAAGAAAAGGAAAGAUAUAAGCAUCUGAAUGCAGAGUUCCAAAGAAUAGCAAGAAGAGAUAAGAAAGCCUUCCUCAGCGAUCAAUGCAAAGAAAUAGAGGAAAACAAUAGAAUGGGAAAGACUAGAGAUCUCUUCAAGAAAAUUAGAGAUACCAAGGGAACAUUUCAUGCAAAGAUGGGCUCGAUAAAGGAUAGAAAUGGUAUGGACCUAACAGAAGCAGAAGAUAUUAAGAAGAGGUGGCAAGAAUACACAGAAGAACUGUACAAAAAAGAUCUUCAUGACCCAGAUAAUCACAAUGGUGUGAUCACUCACACUCACCUAGAGCCAGACAUCCUGGAAUGUGAAGUCAAGUGGGCCUUAGAAAGCAUCACUAUGAACAAAGCUAGUGGAGGUGAUGGAAUUCCAGU
rnacentral:lncRNA from 1 species